GGGAGAUGGCGGCUUCAACCCCUGCGAAGGAGAAAAGCGGUGGAAAAGCACAGAAUUAGGCAUAAAACUACCCACCUUGGGGGCUGUUUCAAAGGAACGUACAGAAGAUAGGUCUGAAUGCUCCGUGGGGAAGAACAACACUGCAGGGAGCUGGCUGGGAUGUGACUGCUGUUAACCUGGGAUCCAAAGGAAAAAAAAAA